rnacentral:rRNA from 1 species
UACGGGGGGGGCAAGCGUUGUUCGGAAUUACUGGGCGUAAAGGGUUUGUAGGUGGCCAACUAAGUCAGACGUGAAAUCCCUCAGCUUAACUGGGGAACUGCGUCUGAUACUGGUUGGCUUGAGUGCAGGAGAGGAACGCGGAAUUCCAGGUGCAGCGGUGAAAUGCGUAGAUAUCUGGAGGAACACCGGUGGCGAAGGCGGCAUCCUGGACCGACACUGACACUGAGGAGCGAAAGCCAGGGGAGCAAACGGG